CUGCGGAAGGAUCAUUGUCGUGACCCUGACCAAAACAGACCGUGCACGCGUCAUCCAAUCCGUCGGCGGCGGCAUUGUCCGUCGCUCGGCCAAUGCCUCGACCACCUCCCCUCCUCGGAGUGGGUGGGGGCUCGGGGUAAAAGAACCCACGGCGCCGAAGGCGUCAAGGAACACUGUGCCUAACCCGGGGGCAUGGCUAGCUUGCUAGUCAUCCCUCGUGUUGCAAAGCUAUUUAAUCCACACGACUCUCGGCAACGGAUAUCUCGGCUCUCGCAUCGAUGAAGAACGUAACGAAAUGCGAUACCUGGUGUGAAUUGCAGAAUCCCGCGAACCAUCGAGUCUUUGAACGCAAGUUGCGCCCGAGGCCACUCGGCCGAGGGCACGCCUGCCUGGGCGUCACGCCAAAACACGCUCCCAACCCCCUCAUCGGGAAUCAGGAUGCGGCAUCUGGUCCCUCGUCUCGCAAGGGGCGGUGGACCGAAGAUCGGGCUGCCGGCGUACCGCGCCGGACACAGCGCAUGGUGGGCGUCCUCGCUUUAUCAACGCAGUGCAUCCGACGCGCAGCCGGCAUGAUGGCCUCAAAAUGACCCAGCAAACGAAGCACACGUCGCUUCGACCGCGACCCCAGGUCAGGCGGGACUACCCGCUGAGUUUAAGCA
rnacentral:rRNA from 1 species